ACUAAUUAAAGAUAUUUGUUAUGAUGAGCUUGAUUAGCUAAGUUAUUAAUUAUUAGUAUGAACAGUUCAGCCUUUUCUUCUAAAUUGCCCAAUGCUAAAGAAAACUAGGUACUAAUUGAAGAUAUUUGUUGUGAGCUUGAUUGGAUCUUGAUGUGGCCUAUUUUUCAGUUGGCUAAAUAAAGAAAAUAAUUAGAAGUCACUUAAAUUUAAUUCCCUAGUAUCAACAUUUCAGCAUUUUCUUCUAAAUUGCCCAAGUUGGAAAUCCUUAAUUAGAUACAACGAAGAAUAAGUUGAACAUUUCAGAAGAUAAUUAGAAGACAUCUUCAUUUACUUCUUAAGUAUGAAUAUAACAUUGUUACCAAGGGAUAAUGGAGAAAUGGAUGGAGAUAAGAAAUGCAGGGGCAGACCAAAAGGGAUCAGAGGGAAGCAGUGAGUGUGAGACAGGACUUAGCAACCUUAGAUCUUUCUUAAGAUGAAGCCUGCAGGAAACAAAUUCAUACAGCUAACUUGUCUGAGACUGAGUCUUAGUUGAGUUGAGUUACUAAAACAAUCAGAUUCUUAGUUUAGAUCAAGAGGGAUCAGAGGGAAGCAGUGAGAUGGGACUUAGCAAG
rnacentral:misc_RNA from 1 species